AGUCAAUAGAUACCCGGGUAGUCCACGCCGUAAACGAUGAGUACUAGGUGUAGGAGGUAUCGACUCCUUCUGUGCCGCAGUUAAACACAAUAAGUACUCCGCCUGGGAAGUACGGUCGCAAGAUUAAAACUCAAAGGAAUUGACGGGGCCCGGCACAGGCAGCGGAGCAUGUGGUUUAAUUCGAAGCAACGCGAAGAACCUUACCUAGACUUGACAUCUCCUGAAUAGCGCAGAGAUGCGUGAAAGCCCUUCGGGGUCGAGGAAGGACAGGUGGUGCAUGGUUGUCGUCAGCUCGUGUCGUGAGAUGUUGGGUUAAGUCCCGCAACGAGCGCAACCCCUAUUAUUAGUUGCUACCAUUAAGUCGAGCACUCUAAUGAGACUGCCCGGGUUAAACCGGGGUAGGAAGGCGGGGAUGACGUCAAAUCAUCAUGCCCCUUAUGUCUAGGGCUACACACGUGCUACAAUGGUGAGAACAACGAGAUGCAAUACCGCGA
rnacentral:rRNA from 1 species